rnacentral:rRNA from 1 species
CGCAACCCUUGUCCUUAGUUACCAGCACGUUAGUGUGGGCACUCUAAGGAGACUGCCGGUGACAACCGGAGGAAGGUGGGGAUGACGUCAAGUCAUCAUGGCCUUACGGCCUGGGCUACACACGUGCUACAAUGGUCGGUACAAAGGGUUGCCAAGCCGCGAGGUGGAGCUAAUCCCAUAAAACCGAUCGUAGUCCGGAUCGCAGUCUGCAACUCGACUGCGUGAAGUCGGAAUCGCUAGUAAUCGUGAAUCAGAAUGUCACGGUGAAUACGUUCCCGGGCCUU